UUUCAAUAUCGUUGGAUUCUGACAUUGUUAGACCAGGAGCUGGGAAGACCCACAGUGCCCCCUGGUGGCUGCCUUGGCCUGAGUGUGUUUCAUUGAACAAAUAGCUGUUUUGGCUGCAGCCCAGGGAUGAGCAAAAGGCCUGCAUUGGCUGAGGCAUCUUUGGAUCCAAGAAGUGGCUGGGGACCUGGGAGCCCUGGUGCUUGUCUGAGCCUGUGUAGCAGCAGAGGAGG